rnacentral:lncRNA from 1 species
CCACGCCCCUGCCGCCCACCAUCCCGCCUUGCUGCCCCCCACCUUUUGCCUCAGGUGAGGGGACCAGUGGAGGGGGGGAAGGGCGGUGGACUGUGGUGGGAAUGGGGCGGGGGAGGCUCGGUGGGCACCAACCUGCCUCCUAAUCCGGAGUCUCUCCCCCCUCCCCGAUGUCUCCCCCUUUCUCAUCGAUGUUGACUGACUCCCCGAUUUGUUCACUUUCUCUCUCCAUCUCCUUGGUCCAUCUCUGUCCAUCUGUCUCUUGUCAUCCGUCCUUUUGUGUCUCUGUCUGCCUGACUCUGUCUGUCUUGCCUUCUCUGUCUCUCUGGGUAUCUGUUGUCCUCCCCUUCCAUUUCUUUCUCUCUCUGUCUCUUUCUCCCUGCCUUGGGUCUCUCUGUCUGACCCUUCCCUGCACCCCAUCUUCGUGCUUCCCCCCUGUGUCUGCACACCUCCC